rnacentral:tRNA from 1 species
GAGGGUAGAGCUCAGUGGUGAGCACAUGCUAAACACGCACGAGGUCAUGGGUUCAAUCCCCAGUACCUCCA